rnacentral:lncRNA from 1 species
UCUUAUUGAAAUCAGAUAACUCACCAUCACUAUUAAUCUGUAUGAGACUGUACAAGGGGAUUCGAUACCAAAUGAGAUGUUCCUUAUUGGAGUACCACACACCAGGCAAUAAUUUCAAAUGCAUUCAUUAAAAGGAUGUACACUUCUAGCUAAUUUCUGGGUAGCCUGAGGCUACGUGAGCUGUGUUCUGUACUUUCUGAUAAUUUUCACUAGGAUUUAGUGUCCGUGUUCCCAUGUUAAUAUUUGUUGCCACAUUCCACCCCAGAGGUGGCUACAUUUCAGGGGAGUGCAGAUGUAUUUCUAGUUCUUUGGCAUCUUUCUGAAUAAGAAACAUGGUAGAAAUGUGUGACAGAUCUGCAAAAAUACCCUCUAAUUUACCCAUUGGGCCUGUAUGCAAGCACAAGGGUGGGUUUUGCUAGCACAGAGAGGCACAGCAAAAAAUCAAAUUAAGUAUUGGCUUAGGGACAGCAUUCAUUCUCCCCAUAAAAAAAAAGAAAGCAUAAUCAUAGUUUAAGAGAGGGGAAUUAUUGAGCGUUACUCAUUAGAGUUUGAGUAGCCUCUAGUUUGCAGUCCAUCUGCUGAAAAGAAAUGUUGACUCUAAUUGAAACUGCCACCAAGAUGCUGGGGAGUAAAUUUCCUAAGUGGUCCGUGGGAGGUAUGUGCGUAAAUCCUAUUAACAAAUAACAGGAUUCCUGCCUGCACCUCUCCUAUCUCUCCAAAGGUUUGACUUUGUCUGUUUCUCUGGCCCUUUGCUAGCUUUGUUUUAUGCAGAGGAAAAGAAAAAUAAAAGACAACAACAAAGCUAAAACAAAAGACGAUGAGGGAAGAUAUUUAGUGGUUAAGACCAGUGCUCUUACACAGAGCUGACAUUCCUCAGAUGUGUGUAUUCUUUGGGAUUUUCUCCCAAAGGUCUUAUGUAUUUUUAAGUUGAAAAUUUGCAUUGUUGGGUUUAAUACUUUUAUUAUAAUUAAAUAAAACAAAAGGUGUCCACGUGUAAAUAAAACCUGUAAGUUAGAAAUUUGCUAUAUACCACAAUUUUAUUUGUAAAGUGUUCCUUGUUCCUUGGUUCAUAUUUUGGUUUUAAUAGUGUAAAUUUUUCCAUACAAGCAAGAAAAACUGGCCUCAUUCUUACCUAUUUUGCAUCAAUAUGAUUUCAUUGAUUUUAUUCCUGAUAUGCAGCAACAAACACAAGCUCGAAAUCAGGCCUACUGACUCUUCUCAUGAGUCACAGCCCCCCUUUCCUCUCUUCCAUCUAACCUCCCUCGUUUUGCCUUUCACGCCUUUUUGAGUGUGAAAUGACAAAUUAGCCACUUCCUCACAUGGAAGAGAGCUUUGAUGGAUACCAAAACGACAGGCUUUACUUGUUUCUCAUGCAUUCUACAGAUCUUGAGAGCAAAGUCUGUGGGAAACCCGUGUAAUUGGUGUGCACCUCAUUAAGGAACCAAAAACGUUGGCUCCGAAAGUUGUAGAUUCGCCCUCGCCCUUGCUAGUGUUUGUGUGUGCAUUCAGUCCCUGGUCUAUAAUUGUGUAGGUCCAGUUUACAUCGUUGUUCAUUUCCUCUCUGUUGAAAGUCAGAUAUGGUAAAGUGUUUGUCAGAUUCAGAAAGAAAUCUUGGCUUACCCACGUUUCUUGUAAAACCUGAAAGCUGAGUUUGCAUGUGUUGUAUAAAAGCCAGCCAUACCAUAUGUCAUUAAUUUUAGAUGCUUUUUUUAAUAGAAGAUGUGUGAGUUAAUUAGGAGAUAUUAGAUAGCAUGCGUACAAUGCUUUGAUAGUGUAAAGCACUGAGUGCUAACUAUGAUAAAAUGGGUCUGUGUGGGGGAGGGAAUUUCUCAGCACAGGACCUUUAAUUGGCAGAGAGAGUGAUGCUGCAGACAUUAACCACUCAAACAGUAUUUCGAGAAAACGCAGAGGACUUUUUGGCAUUUUUGCUGCAAAAUAAUGUAGGCCAGGCAUUUCACAAGAGGCUCAUCAUUUUGGGUACCUUGAUUUUAAGGCCAAUUAAGACUACUUAAAGGAGGUAUGGGGGGUGGGGGUGGUAUUAAACUGCUACAUAUAAAGCACCCUGUGACAGGGAUACUCAAUACUCUUGGCUGGAAGGUUAUGCUGACACCACACAGAACCUACCUAAUUACUCCUUAUUAGAUUUUUAUCAGCCCACAAAGUCCCAUUUUUCUGACCUGGACAUUAAGUAAAUCAGUGGAACCACACCAAUGUUAGGGACUAACAGGUGGUCCUGAUUCACAUGCGCUCGCAAAGGACCUCUUCUCCCCAGUGGUGACACAGUGCUUCAAUUACUGCAUUUCACACAACUCUCAUCACAUGUUUGCCUACUUCAUAAAAAGCAGAUCAAUUUCUUCUUCCAUAUUUUAUUCUUCUCCAUGAAAACUAAAUAAUCUGAUUUGUGUUAAGAUAUGACUGGCGUUAUGUAUUCUACAAAUGAACCCACCCGAUUGACUUUAGUAAAAAGCUGGGAUGACUAAGGGUCUCAGUGCUGGGAGCAUUAGAUUUAAAUGGUUGAAUUAAAAUAUUAUUACUCU